AAACCAGCACCUCAAGUGGUCAGGAGGAUUAUUGGGCCUAAAGCAUCCGUAGCCUGCUCUGUAAGUUUUCGGUUAAAUCUGUACGCUCAACGUACAGGCUGUCGGGAAUACUGCAGAGCUAGGGAGUGGGAGAGGUAGACGGUACUCGGGAGGAAGUGGUAAAAUGCUUUGAUCUCUCGAUGACCACCUGUGGCGAAGGCGGUCUACCAGAACACGUCCGACGGUGAGGGAUGAAAGCUGGGGGAGCAAACCGGAUUAGAAACCCGGGUAGUCC
rnacentral:rRNA from 1 species